GGGGGGGGGGGGGGGGGGGCGGGGGGGGGGCGGGGCGGGCGGGGGGACGGGAAGCGGGCUUUGCUGAUGUUAGCGGCGGACGGGGGAGUAACACGUGGAUAACCUACCUGUAAGACUGGGAUAACUUCGGGAAACCGGAGCUAAUACCGGAUAAUAUUUUGAACCGCAUGGUUCAAAAGUGAAAGACGGUCUUGCUGUCACUUAUAGAUGGAUCCGCGCUGCAUUAGCUAGUUGGUAAGGUAACGGCUUACCAAGGCAACGAUGCAUAGCCGACCUGAGAGGGUGAUCGGCCACACUGGAACUGAGACACGGUCCAGACUCCUACGGGAGGCAGCAGUAGGGAAUCUUCCGCAAUGGGCGAAAGCCUGACGGAGCAACGCCGCGUGAGUGAUGAAGGUCUUCGGAUCGUAAAACUCUGUUAUUAGGGAAGAACAUAUGUGUAAGUAACUGUGCACAUCUUGACGGUACCUAAUCAGAAAGCCACGGCUAACUACGUG
rnacentral:rRNA from 1 species